rnacentral:tRNA from 1 species
UACAUUAAGGUGUAUGAUGCACAAUAGUUUUUGAUACUAUUGGGGAUAGUUUAAUUCUAUCUAGUGUAA